UAUGACACUUAAGCUAAUCUGAA
rnacentral:miRNA from 1 species